rnacentral:rRNA from 1 species
UACAGAGGGUGCGAGCGUUGUCCGGAAUCACUGGGCGUAAAGGGGGCGUAGGCGGUCUCUUAAGCGUGUGGUGAAAGCCCGGGGCUCAACUCCGGGUCGGCCGUGCGAACUGGGGGACUGGAGCUUGUCAGAGGCAGGCGGAAUUCCGGGUGUAGCGGUGGAAUGCGUAGAGAUCCGGAAGAACACCGGUGGCGAAGGCGGCCUGCUGGGACAGUGCUGACGCUGAGGCGCGACAGCGUGGGGAGCAAACAGG